GCGGGCGUCGCCAAGUGGUAAGGCAUCAGCCUUCCAAGCUGACAUUCGCCGGUUCGAAUCCGGCCGCCCGCU
rnacentral:tRNA from 1 species